rnacentral:rRNA from 1 species
AUUUUGUACUGAUCUUGAGAAUUACAAUAUCUACAAUCAAACUCCUCAACAUUAUGGUCAAUAUGUGCCACUAGUGCACGUGUUGAACUACGGUAACUACCAUGGAGAUACCUUGAUAAUCCCGAAUGAUUGUGUGCCUCAUCUGAUGUAUACGCAUGGUAGCCUUCAUGUUUUGAACAUACAACCAGGUUGUCCUACGAAUCUCAACUGUCCAUACCGGGUUUCUAAAAGAAGUGGAGACAUAACAAUCAAAGAAUGGAAAAAAUGUAUGGACAGUCGUAAGGAGCUUCUUGGAAGCAACAAGCAGCGAAGGGCAAGAAUUGGAGACAGGAUGAUCGCCAUUCUUCAUAAUGGAGAGUCAGGGUCUAUAUUGUUUUAUGCUAUUUUACCUUAAGGGUGUUUAGG